rnacentral:sRNA from 1 species
GCCGGGCAUGGUGGCUCAUGCUUGUAAUCCCAGCACCUUGGGAGGCUGAGGCAGGAGGAUCAUGAGUUGAAAGUCAGCCUCAG